GACAGAGGGUGCAAACGUUGUUCGGAAUUACUGGGCGUAAAGCGCGUGUAGGCGGCCCUGCAAGUCGGAUGUGAAAUCCCACGGCUCAACCGUGGAAGUGCAUUCGAAACUGCAGGGCUAGAGUCCUGGAGAGGAAGGUGGAAUGCUUGGUGUAGAGGUGAAAUUCGUAGAUAUCAAGCGGAACACCGGUGGCGAAGGCGGCUACCUGGACCGGUUCUGACGCUGAUGCGCGAAAGCGUGGGGAGCAAACAGG
rnacentral:rRNA from 1 species